rnacentral:rRNA from 1 species
AACGAACGCUGGCGGCGUGGAUAAGACAUGCAAGUCGAACGGGGUCUUGUAGCAAUACAAGGCUCAGUGGCGGACGGGUGCGUAACACGUGAACAAUCUGCCCGGAAGAGGGGGACAGCCCAGGGAAACUUGGAUUAAUACCCCGUGUGGCCCGGACCGGCAUCGGUCCGGCGCGGAAGGUGCUGAAAGGUGCCGCUUCCGGAUGAGUUCGCGGCCUAUCAGCUAGUUGGCGGGGUAACGGCCCACCAAGGCGACGACGGGUAGCUGGUCUGAGGGGAUGACCAGCCACACUGGAACGGAGACACGGUCCAGACACCUACGGGUGGCAGCAGUCGAGAAUCAUUCACAAUGGGCGAAAGCCUGAUGGUGUGACGCCGCGUGGAGGAUGAAGGUCUUCGGAUUGUAAACUCCUGUCAAGUGAGAGUAAAGCCGGGUUUUAACUGAACGCCGGUUUGAGAGUAUCACUAGAGGAAGGGACGGCUAACUUCGUGCCAGCCGCCGCAGUAACAC